UCCGAAGGGGGCUAGCGUUGCUCGGAAUUACUGGGCGUAAAGGGAGCGUAGGCGGAUAGUUUAGUCAGAGGUGAAAUCCCGGGGCUCAACCUCGGAACUGCCUUUGAUACUGGCUAUCUUGAGUAUGGGAGAGGUGUGUGGAACUCCGAGUGUAGAGGUGAAAUUCGUAGAUAUUCGCAAGAACACCAGUGGCGAAGGCGGCUCACUGGCCCGAUACUGACGCUGAGGCACGAAAGCGUGGGGAGCAAACAGG
rnacentral:rRNA from 1 species